UUUGGGAAUGCCAAGACGGUGUACAACAACAACUCUUCCCGCUUUGGGAAGUUUAUCCAGCUCCACUUCUCCCAGAGUGGGAACAUCCAGGGAGGCUGUAUCAUCGACUAUUUACUUGAAAAGAACCGUGUGGUGAGACAGAACCCUGGAGAGAGGAACUAUCAUAUCUUCUAUGCUCUGCUGGCCGGGGCCGACAAGAACCAGAAAGAGCUGUACUUCCUGUCAGAGGGCCCAGAGUCAUACCACUACCUGAGUCAGUCUGGCUGUGUGAAGGACAGGAGUCUAGAUGACCUGAAGCUAUAUGAUAGUUUUAUGG